rnacentral:rRNA from 1 species
UACGUAGGGCGCAAGCGUUGUCCGGAAUUAUUGGGCGUAAAGAGCUCGUAGGCGGUUUGUCACGUCGGAUGUGAAAGCCCGGGGCUUAACCCCGGGUCUGCAUUCGAUACGGGCAGACUGGAGUGUGGUAGGGGAGAUCGGAAUUCCUGGUGUAGCGGUGAAAUGCGCAGAUAUCAGGAGGAACACCGGUGGCGAAGGCGGAUCUCUGGGCCAUUACUGACGCUGAGGAGCGAAAGCGUGGGGAGCGAACAGGAUUAGAUACCCUGGUAGUCCACGCCGUAAACGUUGGGAACUAGGUGUGGGUCACAUUCCACGUGGUCCGUGCCGCAGCUAACGCAUUAAGUUCCCCGCCUGGGGAGUACGGCCGCAAGGCUAAA